CCUACGGGCGGCUGCAGUGAGGAAUAUUGGUCAAUGGACGAGAGUCUGAACCAGCCAAGUAGCGUGAAGGAUGACUGCCCUAUGGGUUGUAAACUUCUUUUAUAAAGGAAUAAAACGAGGCACGUGUGCCUUUUUGCAUGUACUUUAUGAAUAAGGAUCGGCUAACUCCGUGCCAGCAGCCGCGGUAAUACGGAGGAUCCGAGCGUUAUCCGGAUUUAUUGGGUUUAAAGGGAGCGUAGAUGGGUUGUUAAGUCAGUUGUGAAAGUUUGCGGCUCAACCGUAAAAUUGCAAUUGAUACUGGCAGUCGUGAGUACAGUUGAGGUAGGCUGAAUUCGUGGUGUAGCGGUGAAAUGCUUAGAUAUCACGAAGAACCCCGAUUGCGAAGGCAGCUUACUAAACUGUGACUGACAUUGAUGCUCGAAAGUGUGGGUAUCAAACAGGAUUAGAUACCCGGGUAGUC
rnacentral:rRNA from 1 species